rnacentral:misc_RNA from 1 species
GUUUGUCAUGACUGGGAGUUGUUUCUAUAUUUCUCUUGCUUUAUUUUGGUUCUCAUUCUUUUAUUACUUCUGAUGUAACUUGUUCCUUAUUUCCUCUGCCUUGCUCUUAUAGUUUGUUGGGCAUUGUUGCUGUUGAGAGAGUAUAAUUUUGAAUUUGUUCACUAAAAGCCAUUAAAAUUUGUUUUUAGUUGUAGAUUUGGCAUGCCUUUUACAACAGAUCUAAAAGAAUGCUUUUUCAAAA